AAGACCUUGCGCUUUUGGAGCGGCCGAUGUCUGAUUAGCUUGUUGGUAAGGUAAAAGCUUACCAAGGCUUCGAUCAGUAGCUGGUCUGAGAGGACGACCAGCCACACUGGGACUGAGACACGGCCCAGACCCCUACGGGAGGCAGCAGUGGGGAAUUUUGGACAAUGGGGGCAACCCUGAUCCAGCCAUGCCGCGUGAGUGAAGAAGGCCUUCGGGUUGUAAAGCUCUUUCAGCCGGAACGAAACGGUUACGGUUAAUACCCGUGACUACUGACGGUACCGGAAGAAGAAGCACCGGCUAACUACGUGCCAGCAGCCGCGGUAAUACGUAGGGUGCAAGCGUUAAUCGGAAUUACUGGGCGUAAAGCGUGCGCAGGUGGUUUUGUAAGUCAGAUGUGAAAUCCCCGGGCUUAACCUGGGAACU
rnacentral:rRNA from 1 species